ensembl:lncRNA
GGGGUUGGUGAUUUUGCCACGCGGGAGGGUGAAUGAGGGUGAAUGACCGCCAUAACCACUGGCCUGUUUAGGCAGGCUGAGCCGUACCAGGACCAGAGAGAGGCGCUGGCCCAACACACGUGUUCUGUUGGUGCCAGACGAACGAUUUGCAUGCCCAUUACGAGGUCACCACCCUAUUGUAGGUGUAUUAGGGUGUUGAUGAGGGGAGCAGGGGUGCUAUGCAGCGAGAGCUUCUUCUGACGAGCAUUGGCAACAGGUGCAGAGAGGCUUUGAUAACUCUGUGUGUGUGUGUGUGUGUGAGUGUGUGUGGAGGCCGAACGGAGGUCAGCACUCGUUCUAGGAAAACCAACGGAUGAAGGGAGGUGCUGCGAAGGGGGAGGUUCGGAGAGGAGAUCAUUCACACACACCUGCAUACCUCCGAUGGAACACAGGCCAGUUUAAACUGGCGCCAGCGGGGAGGGGGGAGGACGGGGUUUUCAAAACACAGGAAAUGUAUUUCCUUAACAGUUCAGUGAGGACCCGAUGCGGCAUGGAUUUCAGUAUUGUCUGCUUCUAUGAAAACGUGUGUUUGUCGAAUGCGCGACUGACGAUGAGUGUUCCACCAAGUGACCGGCAGCAGCUUAACAGAGUGUGUGUGUGUGUGUGUGUGUGUGUGUCAGCGUGCAAGACACAGUAGAGCCGAAAAGAACCUGACCGUACCUACUGCUUACACAGUGAAGCUGUCCAAAAGCACCUCAGGCCCCCAAUCCUAAGCCUGUCACAGGAACCAUGCUACCUGAGGACCAUACCAGAAUAAAAGACGGCGCCGCUAGCUGGAGAGAGGCUGGGAAGCCCCCACGGACAAUGCAAAUUUGACAGCACCACCUCGGGGGUGUGUGGGGGAGGCAACAGAGAGGGAGGUUCACUGCAAAGCUGAGAUUGUCGAGUGAGUGAGCCCGACCUCGAACACGUUGACCGACAUUACUUCCUUGUUUGAAACAAGCAGAAUGGCUUGAUGCAAGGGUCCUUGAAGAAGUUCCAGUUUGAUAUGAAUAAACUGAGGAAGGAUUAAAAAAACAGCGAUUUUAUAAUCUACUGUACGGAUCAAUCAACAUUUUCAUUGUCGUGUGACAUUUUAUUCGUUAUUUUUCAUCAUGUUUCUCUGGCUCUCCCUUUCCAGUGGCCUUAUUUUAGAAGAAAAAUGUGUGCAAUUUGAAAUGUAUUUCACCCAUAAAAAUGCUCUCUCAAAAUGCAACAAAUGUUUUCUACAACGUAUCCCACCAA